rnacentral:lncRNA from 1 species
ACUGAUGUUGUUAUCUCAUAAAUGGAGGGAGUUACAUGUUUGAUAUUUCUUCAUCCAAGUCUUGUCAACAAUGUAGCUGGCUACUGUAUGUAGCUAUUUACUUUCUUCAGUAACAUGAUGCCUUUUUAUGGUACAAAGCUUUUCUUUUCUCUUUGCCCUCCUUCAUCUUUCUUCUUAAUUAAUUUCCUCAUCUUUUCAUGCUUUCUUUCUGUGUACCAGAAAUUUCUAUGAACAAACUGCUACUGCUACUUACAACUAAAAACUCGGGAUUUUCUUCUAAGUAUAUAAACACUUAUUUAUGCAUGAAAAUCUUAAAAGCAUUAGCAAGAAAAAGAAAAGUUUUCUCUUCUGGUUGCAUAAAUAUGCAUAUAUAUUAAUCUAUCCUAGUUUCAAAAUGAAAUUAUCUAUAAACUGCCCUAUUCGUUCUUUUAUCGAAAAAGGCAAUUUAUAGUAAUACUUGUUUGCAUUAAUAUCUGCAUUUUGUACCAUUUCGUGUAUUUAACAGUUGGACUUCGAUUCUGCCUGCAAACAAGCACAUGGGGUGGAUAAAUGGUUGUUCAGCAAUAACUAUUUUUACACUGUUCUUUAAAAUGUUCUAUCAUCAUUUUUACUAUUAUAAGAUAAGAUUCAUUCAGUAGUUCAUCCCACACAUACAACCUCUAAAUUUAUUUGUUAAUUUUUAACUAAUGAUUUGUAUGAAUAAUUUAGGUAAUAAUUUUUGUAUUUGUAUAUGAGAACUAAAUUUAACUAGCGCAUAUAAACAAUAUUACCACGUUCAUCUUUCUAUCUGCAUGUGAUUUUAUUUUAAAUUAACUUAUUUGAAAAUGCUUCUUAUUAACGUAGCCAAACCUGUAUACAGCUGUCCUCAUAAUGUUUCGCCAAAAAAUCUGCAUUUAUAACAUUUUCCUGUAAGAUUCAAACGAGAACAUGCUGAUAUUUUGAGUUCAACAUUUGAGAUAAAUUAUGAGAGACCUAAUAUGCAGAAAGGAAAAAGAUGACAGAUUAUAAAAACUGAGCAAUCUCUUGAACUAAUCUGGUGAGUGUAACUUAUUGUGAGCAACAGCAAUCAAAGAAAGGGAAAAGGAAAAUAUUAAGAAAAAUCGGAAUUGAAGAAACAGAGUCUGUCUUUGUAGUGAUUGGAUAUAUGUGGAAUGGUCUGAACCAGAAAGUUCAUGACCGCGUGCUAAUUUUUGUCUGGCGGUCCUAACCUUACACCUUGAAUUCUGCUAACCAACCUAAUAUAAUUAAUGUUGUACUUAUUAUACCUGAUAGGGUUAUUCAUAAAGGAGUCAUCAACAUAAUAAUCCUUCUAUACUAAGCAUGGGAUGAGUAUAUUGUGUGAAAGUUUUGUAAAUAAUGCAAAAUUAAAAUUUUAUAUUUGUCUUAAUUUUUCAUAGCAUGGUCAUUGUUGGUCUCUUUUUUUUUCUUAUCCUGGAAACCUGCUAGUCUCUUUUACUUGUUUUCUUUUUUAUGAACAAUUUUUUUUUAAUUAGGACAUUUUAUAAUGUUAUUAAAUAAUGAUGUGUUUAAAUGUCAGCUAUUUAAACACUUAAAUAGAGAGUAAUAUUUACUAUUUUAUUUUUUUAAGAUUAUUAUUAUUAUUAUUUCUUAUAAUGAAUAUUCUCGUCAAACUCUUUCUCUUUAAAUAUAUUCAUUGUAAAAAGUAAAUGUGUAACAACCUAAAUAAAGAGAAUUGUGGAAUGAGAUUGUGAAUGUAAUAAAUAAAGAUAAAAAAAUCAUAUAAAGUUUACGAAAGAUAUAUUCUUAUGAGACAACUUAGAAAAAUAUUACAACAUUAUCGAGAAACAAUAGGCACAUGCAACAGUUGAGGGUUAUAUUUUAAAAAAAAAGGAAGAAGAAUGAAAAUAUUCAAAAAUUCAUUCAUAAAUGUACAUGCUUUCAAGAAGGGGAGUGGCUGAUCAUUGAACUCUUAUUUAUUCUUUUGUUAAAUAUAGAGAUGAUAAUUAAAGAAAUUUCUGAAAAGGUAUACAAAUCGAUUCUUAAGGUUGACAAUAUGUUUUUAUUUGGUUUAUCAAAGUUUAUGUUACAUAAUCUAGGUUUUAUAUAUCUUUAUACACACAAUACAAAUCACAUGAUGAAUAUUUUUUAGUAUGAAACUGAUCUAAUUUAAAGGGCUAAAAAAAUUAAUAUAUAUAAACAAUAGUUAAAUUGUAAGAGAAGACUAUGUCAUAAAUUUCUCAUAAUUUAAAGACUAAAUUUCAUAGUCAAACCAAUAUAAAUAGUUUAAUUUUCUCCCCUUUUUUUCUUUAUUUUCAUUCUUUGUUGGUCUAUCUCCUUCAAUCGUUCCUGUAUUUUGGGGUUAAAAUUAUAAUCAUCUUAAGGCUACUUAAUCUUUAGAUGUUCUUAUUUGUCUUUAUUCACCAGUGCUUAGCUAUAUAACUUAAUAAUUCUCCUCUCCACCGUGGUUCCCGGAAAUCACACAAUCCAAAGUAGAAAGACAAAGUUAUACAUGUGUUUUUUCUCCUAUGCUUAAACAUCUAUAAAGUGAACUUUUCCUUACUUGAUUAUGAAGACAUUGUGGUUUCUUUACAUAAGAAAAAGCGCAAAUGGAAGUUUAAAACAAAAACUCGUGAGCUAACCAUGCAACAUAAAAAACUUAAAUUAUAAUAUUUUAGUGAGAGCUUUUAAACAAAUGACAAUUUCAUCUAUUCAUCAAUUAUUAAUUUAUAUUAUUAUAAGAUUACUGUAACAUUGUUGCUUUCUUUUGUUAUUUCCAUAAGAGCAAUGUUCUUCAGAAACAAAGGCGUAUCCCAUUAGUGAUAUAAUUUAAAAAAUGCGGGUACAUUUACGACUACUUUUCCCUCUCCUUGCUAGUUCCUACCACCUUCACAUGCUAUUGCCAAAUCAAUGUUAAAUGAACGAGAAAAAUCUUACUAAAGGGACAACAUACGAACUUCAUAAAUAUGCACCCAAAGAGAUGGGAAUGGGUACAAACGAGGGAUAUAUAAUGUCAAUAUCUAAAUUUAUGUUUGAGGGAAGGAACUCACAUCUUUAGCCACAAACUAUAUCUAUCGCCUUGGUUUUGCCACUUGUAUGAAUUGUAACCACACUAUCAUAGUAAGUCUAUAUGAGGCUAAUUUGAGACUUCCCAGUACACUUUUAUGACACAAACUGAUACUUUAAGGAGAUAUCGCGACUCUUCCCCAUAGAUUUUACGACACAAACAUGAUAAACGAACAUAUUUUUUGCUUACAUUAAUACUAAUUACAACAGGUUCAUUAAAUAGAUGCCCAACGGCCUUCUGUGUCUGUUUAAUGUAUCACUCGGCUUUUGGAGUGGCAUCCAAUCAACCCCUCCCCGAGUCAGCGAAUCUCGGUAUCCAAGUCAAAAGUCUGCUUCUACGUAGAGAAUGAAAUUCAUUUUCUAUCCUCAGAUUGCAUGUAAAGAUUUCACCAGCUGAAAUAUUUAAGACAGCACAAAUAAGGUGUAUCAAAGACAAGCUGUAUCCUGAAGUUAUAUUAUAGCAUUAUAAUGAAACUCAGGAGAUUCUGAAAACCUACCAGAUUAUGGAAUAAGGAAUGGUUUCAAUGUUUUGCAUGCUCUUUCAUUUUAGUUCCCUUCAAAUUCCUCUGCUGCUUGUAUCCAUAUGGAAUAGGAAAGCGAAGCCUGUUUCUGGGAAUACUCUUCUCAAAUUUCAGAUCUUCUCCUCUGAUCAUAUAUAUAUUCCCUGUUUCUGGUAUGGUUAGAUCAGCUGGGUUCCUGUUGACCAUGCAUGUGUUUCCAGAGAUGAUUUUACAUGGCACUGGGGUUUCAUGAUUACCAUUAACUUCCAAUUUGCGCUGCAGUGAUGUUCCUGUUUCAUUAUGAGGCCAGCUAAUUUGCUUGCCAAUUUUAUUCUGCAGGUUAGAUAUGGAGUUCUUCAACUUUUCUUUCUUUCCAGAUUUCGUUGGAUUUUGACCAUUGAAACCAGUAGCUCUUACUAAUUUCUUAUCAUGCGGGGUCGAUGAGGAUGCACCA